AACGAACGCUGGCGGCAUGCCUAACACAUGCAAGUCGAACGAGACCUUCGAGUCUAGUGGCGCACGGGUGCGUAACGCGUGGGAACCUGCCCUUAGGUUCGGAAUAACUCCCCGAAAGGGGUGCUAAUACCGGAUAAUGUCUUCGGACCAAAGAUUUAUCGCCUUUGGAUGGGCCCGCGUUGGAUUAGCUAGUUGGUAGGGUAAAAGCCUACCAAGGCGACGAUCCAUAGCUGGUCUGAGAGGAUGAUCAGCCACACUGGGACUGAGACACGGCCCAGACUCCUACGGGAGGCAGCAGUGGGGAAUAUUGGACAAUGGGCGAAAGCCUGAUCCAGCAAUGCCGCGUGAGUGAUGAAGGCCUUAGGGUUGUAAAGCUCUUUUACCCGGGAUGAUAAUGACAGUACCGGGAGAAUAAGCUCCGGCAAACUCCGUG
rnacentral:rRNA from 1 species